rnacentral:tRNA from 1 species
GUGGCCAUAGCUCAGUUGGUAGAGCGGUGGAUUGUGGAUCCAUAGGUCGCGGGUUCAAGCCCCGUUGGUCACC